UCCGAGUUGACCCCGGCAGUCUCCCAUGAGUCCCCAACCGAAUUGCUGGCAACAUGGAACGAGGGUUGCGCUCGUUGCGGGACUUAACCCAACAUCUCACGACACGAGCUGACGACAACCAUGCACCACCUGUACACCGACCUUACGGGGAGCACAUCUCUGCACUUUACCGGUGUAUGUCAAGCCUUGGUAAGGUUCUUCGCGUUGCAUCGAAUUAAUCCGCAUGCUCCGCCGCUUGUGCGGGCCCCCGUCAAUUCCUUUGAGUUUUAGCCUUGCGGCCGUACUCCCCAGGCGGGGCGCUUAAUGCGUUAGCUGCGGCACAGAACUCGUGGAAUGAGCCCCACACCUAGCGCCCAACGUUUACGGCAUGGACUAC
rnacentral:misc_RNA from 1 species